GCCUACGGGGCGCAGCAGGCGCGAAAACUCUACAAUGCAGGCAACUGCGAUAGGGGGACAUCGAGUGGCAUCCACCUUGGGUGCCUGUCCAACCGUCUAAAAAACGGUUGUUAGCAAGGGCCGGGUAAGACCGGUGCCAGCCGCCGCGGUAAUACCGGCGGCUCGAGUGGUGGCCGAUAUUAUUGAGUCUAAAGGGUCCGUAGCCGGCUUUGCAAGUCCCCUGGGAAAUCCAGCGGCUUAACCGUUGGGCUUUCAUGGGAUACUACAUUGCUUGGGACUGGGAGAGGUAGGAGGUACUCGGGGGGUAGGGGUGAAAUCCUGUAAUCCUCCGGGGACCACCGGUGGCGAAGGCGUCCUACCAGAACAGGUCCGACGGUGAGGGACGAAAGCUAGGGGCACGAACCGGAUUAGAUACCCGUGUAGUCCU
rnacentral:rRNA from 1 species